UGUGGUGCAUCGAAUGUAUCU
rnacentral:piRNA from 1 species